GACGAACGCUGGCGGCGUGCCUAAUACAUGCAAGUUGAGCGCUGAAGGUUGGUACUUGUACCAACUGGAUGAGCAGCGAACGGGUGAGUAACGCGUGGGGAAUCUGCCUUUGAGCGGGGGACAACAUUUGGAAACGAAUGCUAAUACCGCAUAAAAACUUUAAACACAAGUUUUAAGUUUGAAAGAUGCAAUUGCAUCACUCAAAGAUGAUCCCGCGUUGUAUUAGCUAGUUGGUGAGGUAAAGGCUCACCAAGGCGAUGAUACAUAGCCGACCUGAGAGGGUGAUCGGCCACAUUGGGACUGAGACACGGCCCAACCUCCUACGGGAGGCAGCAGUAGGGAAUCUUCGGCAAUGGACGCAAGUCUGACCGAGCAACGCCGCGUGAGUGAAGAAGGUUUUCGGAUCGUAAAACUCUGUUGGUAGAGAAGAACGUUGGUGAGAGUGGAAAGCUCAUCAAGUGACGGUAACUACACAGAAAGGGACGGCUAACUACGUG
rnacentral:rRNA from 1 species